GAUGAACGCUGGCGGCGUGCCUAAUACAUGCAAGUCGAGCGAACAGACGAGGAGCUUGCUCCUCUGACGUUAGCGGCGGACGGGUGAGUAACACGUGGAUAACCUACCUAUAAGACUGGGAUAACUUCGGGAAACCGGCGCUAAUACCGUAUAAUAUAUUGAACCGCAUGGUUCAAUAGUGAAAGACGGUUUUGCUGUCACUUAUAGAUGGAUCCGCGCCGCAUUAGCUAGUUGGUAAGGUAACGGCUUACCAAGGCAACGAUGCGUAGCCGACCGGAGAGGGUGAUCGGCCACACUGGAACGGAGACACGGUCCAGAGUCCUACGGGAGGCAGCAGUAGGGAAUCUUCCGCAAUGGGCGAAAGCUAGACGGAGCAACGCCGCGGGAGUGAUGAAGGUCUUCGGAUCGGAAAACUCUGUUAUUAGGGAAGAACAAAUGUGUAAGUAACUAUGCACGUCUUGACGGUAACUAAUCAGAAAGACACGGCUAAAUACGUG
rnacentral:rRNA from 1 species